rnacentral:misc_RNA from 1 species
AAGUCGUAACAAGGUUUCCGUAGGUGAACCUGCGGAAGGAUCAUUACAAUACGUUUCCACACGUAAACCAAACGUUGAACUGUACAAGCGUCCGAUAGGAAAUGGGGUUCAUGGGCCGGCGGCUUUGAGGUGGAUACACCAAACACAAAUCAAACUUCGGUUUGAAAGGUGAUCGAAAGUGCCUCGGUCGGUUCUUUUUCCGGUGUUGCUCGAGUUUCGCACUCGCAAAACGGAAAAGCCCUUUUCCUAGUUCGCGUAUUUUAUCCAUUCAAACACUUUUGCAUCGCCUUUUUUUCUUUUUAACCCCUUUCACCUUUUUUACUUCAACAUUAUUGAACUGAUUUCGAGCUGCUUAACCGCGCUCGAUCAUUUUUACGAAACGUAAGAACAACUCUUAACAACGGAUAUCUUGGCUCUC